AACGAACGCUGGCGGCAGGCUUAACACAUGCAAGUCGAGCGCCCCGCAAGGGGAGCGGCAGACGGGUGAGUAACGCGUGGGGAUCUGCCUAGUGGUACGGAACAACACGGGGAAACUCGUGCUAAUACCGUAUAAGUCCUUCGGGAGAAAGAUUUAUCGCCAUUAGAUGAACCCGCGUCUGAUUAGCUAGUUGGUGAGGUAACGGCUCACCAAGGCGACGAUCAGUAGCUGGUCUGAGAGGAUGAUCAGCCACACUGGGACUGAGACACGGCCCAGACUCCUACGGGAGGCAGCAGUUUGGAAUAUUGGACAAUGGGCGAAAGCCUGAUCCAGCGACGCCGCGUGGACGAUGACGGCCUUCGGGUUGUAAAGUCCUUUUAGCAGGGAACAAUAUAUUGAGCGUACCUGCAGAAUAAGUGGUUGCUAACUCUGUGCCAGCAGCCGCCGUAA
rnacentral:rRNA from 1 species